rnacentral:rRNA from 1 species
UUGAGAAUUUACGUUGUUUAUCUACCUUUAAAAGACCUUCUUCGGAGGGUAUGCUUAAAGAGGGGCUUGCGUCACAUUAGUUAGUUGGUAGGGUAAUGGCCUACCAAGACGAUGAUGUGUAGCUGGACUGAGAGGUUGAACAGCCACAUUGGGACUGAGACACGGCCCAAACUCCUACGGGAGGCAGCAGUAGGGAAUUUUCGGCAAUGGAGGAAACUCUGACCGAGCAACGCCGCGUGAACGACGAAGUACUUCGGUAUGUAAAGUUCUUUUAUUGAAGAAGAAACAAUAGUGGAAAAACUAUCUUGACGUUAUUCAAUGAAUAAGCCCCGGCUAACUAUGUGCCAGCAGCCGCGGUAAUACAUAGGGGGCGAGCGUUAUCCGGAAUUAUUGGGCGUAAAGGGUGCGUAGGCGGUUUAAUAAGUCUCUAGUUUAAUUUCAACGCUUAACGUUGUCCUGCUAGAGAAACUGUUUGACUAGAGUGAGAUAGAGGUAAGCGGAAUUCCAUGUGUAGCGGUAAAAUGUGUAAAUAUAUGGAGGAACACCAGAGGCGUAGGCGGCUUACUGGGUCUUUACUGACGCUGAUGCACGAAAGCGUGGGGAGCAAACAGGAUUAGAUACCCUGGUAGUCCACGCCGUAAACUAUGAGUACUAAGUGUCGGGGUUAAACUCGGUACUGAAGCUAACACAUUAAGUACUCCGCCUGAGUAGUACGUACGCAAGUAUGAAACUUAAAGGAAUUGACGGGAUCCCGCACAAGCGGUGGAUCAUGUUGUUUAAUUCGAAGAUACACGAAAAACCUUACCAGGUCUUGACAUACUCUGCAAAACUAUAGAAAUAUAGUGGAGGUUAUCAGGGAUACAGGUGGUGCAUGGUUGUCGUCAGCUCGUGUCGUGAGAUGUUAGGUUAAGUUCUAAAACGAGCGCAACCCCUGUCGUUAAUUGCCAGCACGUUAUGGUGGGGACUUUAGCGAGACUGCCAAUGAAAAAUUGGAGGAAGGUGGGGAUUACGUCAAAUCAUCAUGCCCCUUAUGAUCUGGGCUACAAACGUGAUACAAUGGCUAUUACAAAGAGUAGCUUAAACGCGAGUUUUUGGCAAAUCUCAAAAAAAUAGUCUUAGUUCGGAUUGAAGUCUGCAACUCGACUUCAUGAAGUUGGAAUCGCUAGUAAUCGCGAAUCAGCAUGUCGCGGUGAAUACGUUCUCGGGGUUUGUACACACCGCCCGUCGAACCACGAAAGUGGACAAUACCCGAAAGCGAUAGCCUAACUGCGCAAGCAGAGGGAAUCGUCUAAGGUAGGGUCGAUGAUUGGGGUUAAGUCGUAACAAGGUAUCCCUACCGGAAGGUGGGGAUGGAUCACCUCCUUUCUA